rnacentral:rRNA from 1 species
GACAGAGGGUGCAAACGUUGUUCGGAUUUACUGGGCGUAAAGCGCGUGUAGGCGGCUUUGCAAGUCGGAUGUGAAAUCCCACGGCUCAACCGUGGAACGGCUGGGCAUACUGCGGGUCUUGAGACACCUAGGGGCGAGCGGAACAGGCGGUGGAGCGGUGAAAUGCGUAGAUAUCGCCUGGAGCGCCGACGGUGAAAACAGCUCGCUGGGGGUGUUCUGACGCUGAGACACGAAAGCCAGGGGAGCGAACGGG